CCGUGUUGAUGCGUCUCUCGAAGACUCGCGUGGGUUCUCUGCCUCCGCCGCCCACCGCUCAACCGCCGAUGCACCACCGCUCAACCGCCGUAGCUCCUUAUAAAUGGCUCCCGCCUCGCAAGCUCGCUCCAAUGCCCAUGCCCAUCACGCAGCGCCCACACGCGCUAGUAGGUCCGGACGAGGUGAUGCUGGUGGUUUGCGAGGCACCCUCGGCGCGGCUUGGUUCACAGCGGACCGCGAAGCAGAGCUGUGCGGCGAUGGCGACGACCAGCACAGGGCACGCGUGACACCGCGACAACAACCACGUGGCCAUGGAGGGGCUCACGCAGCGCGCGGCGGUGCGCGGCUAGGCGGACCUCGCGCUGCGGCGGCGGCAGGUGCGUGCUAGCCAUGGCCAUGAGAGGGGAUUUGCGGCGUGACUGCGGCAUGAGGCAGCGGGGAUCUCCCAACCUCUCCUACCCCCCCUCCUGAUGUGGGAAACCAUGGAUUACCGGUUUUUUGCUGAAUCUUUAGUCGUGUAGAAACGGCGUCACGGCUGGGACGCGACGGUGCGGCCACCGGCGCCCUGCAUCCUCCACAGGUGUCGCAUGCUUAUGCCCCUGCCCCCUUCCUUCGGCCGUCCAGACCGCCUCCGUCUCAGCCGGUGGAUGUCCAUAUGCCGAAUAACGAGUGCGGCGGCGAUCACGGUCUGCCCCACUCCGCCAGUCCUCCGUCACUUCUUCCGCUGGCUUACUACUACUCAUGCAGGUGGAGUUCAACAUGGAAGAGCUUGCCAUGGCCCAAGCAUCAUUCUGGGCGUAGCUGCCCACCUCCAUGUGACGAUUGCUCCAACGCAGACCAAGUGUUCGUCGUAAUGUCAGAGCGGCCACAGUGAUGAGGAUACAUCAGUUCGUGAUGAGCUUCGAGGUCUGUGUAGUGCCGGAAGAUGGCGACCAGUAGCGGGCGCUCGCGCACUGCUUCUGGGAUGACACAACCAAGACUAAUAAGGAUGAAGAUCAUGUUCAUAUUUCCAAUGGGUUCGUUCCAGUGGUAUGGACGCGGCGAGGCAAUUUAUUAAGUUUGCAGGAGCAGCCGCUGCGUACUAUCCCACACUCUCUGUCGACAGACCACCUUCUUCCACGCCGACGCCGGUCGCCGGGGUACGGUCCCAUCCAUCGCCAUGCAAGAGCGCUCUAAUCCCCUAGACAGUACUGCUCACAGCAGUUGCAGGCGCGGACGCAUUGCCCUCAGCCGUGGAUGCCGCUGUCCCGUACCAAGGAUGUGCAGGCAUGUUUUAGAUUAUGAUUGUGCAAAGGAAUAUGUUAGAAAAUGACGGUCUGCAAUGGUGUACCCAAAUACUGAACAUCUUCUGAUUUUACUGGAAGAUUGAUGUGGACAUUGAUGUUAUUGCACUGGCAGCUGAUUUUUUUCCCUUCACAUUUUUGAAGACUGGAUUUUCAGCAGCACUGCACUAUUAAUUAGCUUUCUGCAUGUGACUUGUGAUUGCAGCUGAUGAAGCCAUCAACCAUUGGAGGCACGGGAUUGUCGAGCCCAAGGUUCGUCACCCUUGUUUUCUAAAGGGAAGCUAAAGUUGGGGUUGCCAAUCUCCGAGGAUUUUCUCAACGUGAAAUAAUACAAGAUGGUGAACACCUCGGAUGCAGCUCAAAGAUCAAAUAUCAUGAUAUAGAGUAGGCAUUAAACCUACCUUAUCUACUUAAUUUUUUGUUGCAGACUAAUCAUCUAUCUUAUCUGUACAUGGCUGAUUAGGAAGUAGUACAGUACCCGCAAGUUUAAUAGUUAUCAGAUUGUUUCUGUACAUAGUUCAUUUGUGUACUAAGACGGGAGGCCAAGUUGUUCAAUUUGUGGAUUUGAUUUAUUCAGACUGGUGGCAUUCCUUAAUUUCUGAUUCCUGUUUAUGUUUGGUUUUGAGCUGGAAAUUAUUUAUUCUGGCACAUCUAACUGCUGCUUCUUUUGCCUAGCCUCCUUUCAAUGAAAUAUUUCCAGUCAGUAGACUAUACUUGCUAUUCCAAGCACAUAUAGGCCUAGGGUUGUCCACUAAGAGAAGGUGCAACAAAUUCACUUGGUUUGUGAAUAUCUUUGGGGUUUGUAUUAAUAUGAGCUAGCAACUUUUCAUAUAUAUGCCAGGUUGUCUUCAAGCCAUAGAAGCACCAUUGAGCCCUGGAGCUGUGGCGACAGCGCCGUACCAGCCACCGUCGUCCUCUUCCAUGCCCUGGCCAUCCAGGAGGAGUGCCACGGCUAUCGCAGUUCUCCCCAUGGCAUCCCGGAUGGCAUCCUCCGGGAUGUUGAUCGUGUCCUUGCACCGGCGGCAGCCGGAGCCUGGUACGUCCAGAGAGGCAUGGCCUUGGAUUGGAGCAUUGCAGGCAUCGAUCCACUUCGUGGUAGCCAUGGGGUAGGGUGGCGUAGAGCUCAGCCGCGUGAGCUGCAGUUCACCAGUUCAUUCCUCACCUGUAAGCCUAGCAAGAAGGAAAAUGGUUUGUGCUAUAUAUACGACUGAACUGGACAAUUGCAUAGAAUGUAGAUAUUUGCACAUCUGAUUUCUUUUGUGUAGUCUGGGUACUCUUCCCCAUGGUGUUAAAAAUAUAUAUGUUUGUGAGGUUGUAUGACUAACGUGAUUUUGUAACACACUAAGUUAACCCAAACUGGCUUGAAUUUGUUGGUUA